CUUCAUAACCCAAAAGCUUUACAGGAAGUCCGAAGAGAACUACAACAAAUAAUUGGCGAAGGGAACGUAGUGGAGGAAUCUAAUGUUACUCGUUUACCUUAUUUGCAAGAUUGCAUCCUCCACUUCCUUUCUUACUCCCUCGAAAAGCUGAAGUAGAUAUCAAGAUUCACAACUUCGUUUAGAGAGGUUCAUAGAAUCAGAAAUUGAUGUUAAAGGAACGAACUUUGGAUUGGUUCCAUUUGGGGGAGGGCGACGAAUUUGCCCUGGAUUACCAUUGGCCAUUAGAAUGUUGCCCUUAUUGUUGGGUACACUUAUUCAUUCAUUUGAUUGGGAACUUGAAGAUGGAGUCACACCUUAAAGUUUAAACAUGGAUGAAGCUUACGGUCUUAUUUUACAGAAAGCUCAACCAUUCAAAGUUAUCCCUCGUUCGAUUUAACAAAUUAUUGUAUAUUUUUAUCUAUAACUAUUGAAAAGUUUAAGAGUUAGAAAAGUUAAGUAUUGAAUUUUUACUGUUGAGUUGAAUUUAUAUUAGAAAAUUGUUUGAUAAAUUAGUAAAUAUAAAUAUUAAAUAUAAUUAUAUUGUUAGAUAAAAGUAAAUAUUGGUUUUUAAUUUUAAUCUUAUUAAUAUAUUAUUUUAUAUAUUUUGGAUAGUUUUGGGUAAGAGAUAAAUAUAGUAAUUUAAAUAUCUCUUUCUUUUAAGAGAAGGAUAAUUUGUUUCAAUUUUUUAAUAAAAUAAAAUCAACUUAAUAUUUUUUAGAUUAAGUGAUAAUUAUAUACCUAUCUACUUAUCUUAUUCAACACUUUUUAAAAAAAAAAUCAUAUUAAGUUAAAAAAUAAGAAAAUGGUUAUCAAAUACAUUUAAAGUAUUAAAUGUUGAAAACUUUCAUUUUCAAUGAAAUGAAUUUUCAAUGAUUUAUCAAACACACCCUUCAUUGAUGGUAAAUUAUUAUAGAAUUAUUUUAGAUUAUCUUUCAUUUUUCUUCAAACAUUGUGGGCAAUGCUAGCAUUCAUUAAUCACAUGAAAACCAUGCGUACCUAUUUACCAGGGAUGUUGUUAGGGGUUGAUAGGAGUCUUAACCCCUAAAAUGGAAAAUUUUUCAUUUAGGUUCUUUAAGUUUUUAAAAAUUUAAAUUAGUAAAGGUAAAAUUAUACUUUGUCCCCCUAAAAAUAAUAAAAAAUUAAUUUAAUUCUUUAAAAAUUAUAAAAAAUUUAAACUAUUAAAAUGAUAAAAUUUCAUUUUUACUAUCGUAAAAAAUAUAAUUUAAUUUCGACUCUCUAAAAAUUUUUUUUUAGCUUCACCCCUGCUAUUUACUACCAUGUCUUAUGUUACAUGCAAGAGGUAAUACUGACAUUUGAACUCAACAAAGAUUCAUUUCGUCAACAACCAAAAUAUCACCAACAUUUGAACUCAACAAAAGUUCAUUUCGUCUACAACCAAAAUAUCAUUGCCACAAUACAUCUCAUAUAUAUUAUGUGAACUAAAAUAUUGGUACCAAGGAUAUAAAUACACAUACCAACUUAGACACGUAGUCAGCUCCCCGAUUUCACCCAGAUUUCUUGAUGAUUAGCCGUCCCGAUCCUUCAACCUCAGCAUGGACCUAACCUAUUCGUUCCCUUGAUUAUUUGUAUAUAUAACUACU
rnacentral:lncRNA from 1 species